CGUGUAGGCGGCCCGGUAAGUCUGCUGUGAAAACCCGGGGCUCAACCUCGGGCGUGCAGUGGAAACUGCCGGGCUAGAGGGCGGCAGAGGCGAGUGGAAUUCCCGGUAUAGCGGUGAAAUGCGCAGAUAUCGGGAGGAACACCAGUAGCGAAGGCGGCUCGCUGGGCCGUCCCUGACGCUGAGACGCGAAAGCUAGGGGAGCAAACA
rnacentral:rRNA from 1 species